rnacentral:rRNA from 1 species
GACGAACGCUGGCGGCGUGCUUAACACAUGCAAGUCGAACGGAAAGGCCCUGCUUUUGUGGGGUGCUCGAGUGGCGAACGGGUGAGUAACACGUGAGUAACCUGCCCUUGACUUUGGGAUAACUUCAGGAAACUGGGGCUAAUACCCGAUAGGAGCUCCUGCUGCAUGGUGGGGGUUGGAAAGUUUCGGCGGUUGGGGAUGGACUCGCGGCUUAUCAGCUUGUUGGUGGGGUAGUGGCUUACCAAGGCUUUGACGGGUAGCCGGCCUGGGAGGGUGAACGGCCACAUUGGGACUGAGAUACGGACCAGACUCCAACGGGAGGCAGCAGUGGGGAAUAUUGCACAAUGGGCGGAAGCCUGAUGCAACAACGCCGCGUGCGGGAUGACGGCCUUCGGGUUGUAAACCGCUUUCGCCUGUGACGAAGCGUGAGUGACGGUAAUGGGUAAAGAAGCACCGGCUAACUACGUG